CUGGGUCUAAUACUGGAUACUACAUUCUCUCGCAAGGGGGUGUGUGGAAAGGGUUUUACUGGUUUUGGAUGGGCUCACGGCCUAUCACCUUGUUGGUGGGGUAAUGGCCUACCAAGGCGACGACGGGUAGCCGGCCUGAGAGGGUGACCGGCCACACUGGGACUGAUACACGGCCCAGACUCCUACGGGAGGCAGCAGUGGGGAAUAUUGCACAAUGGGCGAAAGCCUGAUGCAACGACGCCGCGUGAGGGAUGACGGCCUUCGGGUUGUAAACCUCUUUCAGCACGGAAGAAGCGAAAGUGACGGUACGUGCAGAAGAAGCGCCGGCUAACUACGUGCCAGCAGCCGCGGUAAUACGUAUGGCGCACGCGUUGUCCGGAAUUAUUGGGCGUAAAGAGCUCGUAGGCGGUUUGUCGCGUCUGCUGUGAAAGCCCGGGGCUUAACCCCGU
rnacentral:rRNA from 1 species